AUUGAACGCUGGCGGAACGCUUUACACAUGCAAGUCGAACGGUAGAGGGGGCAACCCCUUGAGAGUGGCGAACGGGUGAGUAAUACAUCGGAACAUGCCCAGUCGUGGGGGAUAACGUAGCGAAAGCUACGCUAAUACCGCAUACGAUCUAUGGAUGAAAGCGGGGGACCGAAAGGCCUCGCGCGAUUGGAGUGGCCGAUGGCAGAUUAGGUAGUUGGUGGGGUAAAGGCCUACCAAGCCUGCGAUCUGUAGCUGGUCUGAGAGGACGACCAGCCACACUGGGACUGAGGCACGGCCCAGACUCCUACGGGAGGCAGCAGUGGGGAAUUUUGGACAAUGGGCGCAAGCCUGAUCCAGCCAUUCCGCGUGCAGGAUGAAGGCCCUCGGGUUGUAAACUGCUUUUGUACGGAACGAAAAGGUGGCCUCUAAUACAGGUUGCUGAUGACGGUACCGUAAGAAUAAGCACCGGCUAACUACGUGCCAGCCGCCGCGGUAA
rnacentral:rRNA from 1 species